GACGAACGCUGGCGGCGUGCCUAAUACAUGCAAGUAGAACGCUGAAGGAGGAGCUUGCUUCUCUGGAUGAGUUGCGAACGGGUGAGUAACGCGUAGGUAACCUGCCUGGUAGCGGGGGAUAACUAUUAGAAACGAUAGCUAAUACCGCAUAACAGUAGAUAUCGCAUGAUAUCUACUUGAAAGGUGCAAUUGCAUCACUACCAGAUGGACCUGCGUUGUAUUAGCUAGUUGGUGAGGUAACGGCUCACCAAGGCGACGAUACAUAGCCGACCUGAGAGGGUGAUCGGCCACACUGGGACUGAGACACGGCCCAGACUCCUACGGGAGGCAGCAGUAGGGAAUCUUCGGCAAUGGACGGAAGUCUGACCGAGCAACGCCGCGUGAGUGAAGAAGGUUUUCGGAUCGUAAAGCUCUGUUGUAAGAGAAGAACGAGUGUGAGAGUGGAAAGUUCACACUGUGACGGUAUCUUACCAGAAAGGGACGGCUAACUACGUG
rnacentral:rRNA from 1 species